UACGAAGGGGGCUAGCGUUGCUCGGAAUCACUGGGCGUAAAGCGCACGUAGGCGGAUUGUUAAGUCAGGGGUGAAAUCCUGGAGCUCAACUCCAGAACUGCCUUUGAUACUGGCGAUCUUGAGUCCGGGAGAGGUGAGUGGAACUGCGAGUGUAGAGGUGAAAUUCGUAGAUAUUCGCAAGAACACCAGUGGCGAAGGCGGCUUUCUGGACGGUAACUGACGCUGAGGCGCGAAAGCGUGGGGAGCAAACAGG
rnacentral:rRNA from 1 species